UGAAUUGGAUCUCUUGGGGAGACAUUU
rnacentral:piRNA from 1 species